rnacentral:rRNA from 1 species
UACGUAGGGGGCUAGCGUUGUCCGGAUUUAUUGGGCGUAAAGAGCGUGUAGGCGGCCAAGCAGGUCCGUUGUGAAAACUGGAGGCUUAACCUCCAGACGUCGACGGAAACCGCGUGGCUAGAGUCCGGAAGAGGAGAGUGGAAUUCCUGGUGUAGCGGUGAAAUGCGCAGAUAUCAGGAAGAACACCAAUGGCGAAGGCAGCUCUCUGGGACGGUACUGACGCUGAGGCACGAAGGCCAGGGGAGCAAACGGG